rnacentral:snRNA from 1 species
AUGCCUUAAACUGAUGAGUAAGGAAAAUAACGACGCGGGGUGACGCCCGUGUCCUCGUUUACAUUACGAGAAGAAUUUUUGAAGGGUCAAAGGUCUGCCUGCUGAGGUGACUCGCUUACUUCGCGAGAUGCCUCGUGGGACCAGGACCUUCCCC